rnacentral:lncRNA from 1 species
AUAAUUAUUGAAUUUAUUAAUCCACAUGCGUAGCUCUGCUUAGCUUAUUAUUAUUAAAUUUAGAGCUGAAGAAAAACAAAACUUGCCGCUUUGAUAGACCAACCAAAUGAGGAAAGGUGGCAGUGUUCAAAGCACAUUCCCUAAGCAAAAACUUGCUUGCCAUUAAAGCUCAGAUAAAAAAAAGAUAACAUACAAAAAUGCAGACAUGUUAAUCAUUACACACAUCUGCAAAGUUGUACGGGAGCCAUACUUACACACAUCUGCAAAGCUAAAAGCACUGGAAAAAAAAUCAUUUCAAGGUAAGACUGUAAGAGGUUUGUGCAGGGAGAGGCGCGGUCAACACUGCAUCGGUGCCGGUGGGUGGUGGCUGCUGGUGGAGAGACGGAGAAAGGUGCCGCCGAUUCGGAGAUUUCAGGAUGUGUGCUGCAUUGUUCACUUGCAAUCGCGAUUUAGGGUUCGGUUUUGGGGGCA